AACGAACGCUGGCGGCAGGCUUAACACAUGCAAGUCGAACGGGCGUAGCAAUACGUCAGUGGCAGACGGGUGAAUAACACGUGGGAACCUUCCUCGUAGUACGGAACAACUCAGGGAAACUUGAACUAAUACCGUAUACGUCCGAGAGGAGAAAGAUUUAUCGCUAUGAGACGGGCCCGCGUCCGAUUAGCUAGUUGGUGGGGUAACGGCCUACCAAGGCAACGAUCGGUAGCUGAUCUGAGAGGAUGAUCAGCCACACUGGGACUGAGACACGGCCCAGACUCCUACGGGAGGCAGCAGUGGGGAAUCUUGGACAAUGGGCGAAAGCCUGAUCCAGCCAUGCCGCGUGAGUGAAGAAGGCCUUAGGGUUGUAAAGCUCUUUUGGCAGGGACGAUAA
rnacentral:rRNA from 1 species